UAAACAACUUGGGUGUCGGUGCUUGAUGAAGUACGGAGAACAAAGAAAAAGUGCAUCGGACAGAGGUCAGCGAACCGCUAAUCGACUCAUGUUGCUGCCGCCGGUAGAGUAAUUGCAGGAUUUGCGUAGUGGUAGUAGUGCCGCCUGGAUUACUAUCGUCGCCGUCGGAUCUGCUGCUGCUGUUCGCGGGACCGUGUGGUAAUACCUGAGAGGAUGAAAGCCAAGGUACUUAAGAUGUUGCAUAUGAACCACUCGGGGAUUAGUAAAAUCAAGCAGCUAGCUCGGAGGACGGUCUACUGGUUUGGAAUGAACAAGGACGUAGAAAAUUACGUGAAGACUUGCCUGAUAUGCCACCAGAUGACAGCGAUCAACAAAAAGGCCCCAUAUUCUCAGUGGAUGCCUACGACCAAACCGUUCAGCCGGAUUCAUGCUAACUUUUUCCAUUUUGAUCGGAAAGUUUUUCUUGUUGUGGUGGAUAGCUUCACGAAAUGGAUCGAACUGGAGUUUAUGCGUUACGGAACAGACUGUAAAAAGGUGUUAAAGGUACUUCUAGGAAUUUUUUCUCGAUACGGUUUACCAGACGUUGUAGUCACCGAUGGAAGGCCACCAUUUAAUUCCGACAGCUUCGUAUUUUUUUUUGAAAAAUCAAGGAAUAUUGGUGAUGAAGAGUCCACCGUAUCACCCCGAGAGCAACGGGCAAGCCUCAGAGAGAACGGUUUCUCUUGGGGGAAGGAUAGUGUUGGCGCAUAAGCGUCAGCUUAAGCUAUCACCAGGCUCCCAUCGAAAUGGAUCUUUGGUUUUCCCAAUACAGAAUACGAUAAACCCUAGAAACGAUUCAGCACUCAUUUUGUCGACAAACCCAGAAGUAGCACCAGUUUCGUCAUCUCUACAUAAUCAAGAAGCCCCAAUUUUGUCACCAGUUUUCUGUUUUGUCAGCGAGUCCGGUAAGACACAAUAGUGAUCUUAGUAAUAAGCGUAAAAGAAGACGUGAAAGCGAAGAACAAGAUGUUGAUGAGUAUUCUAAUCCUGAUUUUGAAUUCUAUGGCUAUCCAGCCGAUUCUUUCAUUUUCUCAAACGAAGAACCUCAAGAUAAUAUUAAAAAUGAAGAUGCAUAUCCACUUCCAGUGGUCUCGAUUAGACGUUCAAGAAGAAGAAAUAAAAAGCGAAGAAAAAGCGAUUUCGUCUACUAUUAGUAGAAUCGAACUAAUUAGAAAUUUUUAAAUUGUAUAUUUGUACAUAUGAAUUCAUUAGGAUAGUUAAGCAUAAAAGUGCAAUCGAAUAAGUUGAAAUGAUGUAGUUGUUUUUUUAGAACAUUUUUGAAUUUAUUGAAUAAAUUUCGAACUUAAGGAUGAAGGAGUUGUAGUAUUGGCAAACGCUUGAAAGCUCGCUCAGAGAUAGCGCGGAAAAUAG